rnacentral:rRNA from 1 species
AGCAGGACGGUGNUCAUGGAAGUCGAAAUCCGCUAAGGAGUGUGUAACAACUCAACUGCCGAAUCAACUAGCCCGGAAAAUGGAUGGUGCUGAAGCGCGCAACCUAUACUCGACCGUCGGAGCAAUUGCCUGGCUCCGAUGAGUAGGAGGACGUGGGGGUCAUUGAGAAACCUCGGGCGUGAGCUUGGGUGGAUCGGCCCCCGGUGCAGAUCUUGGUGGUAGUGGCAAAUAUUCAAAUGAGAACUUUGAAUACUGAAGUGGGGAAGGUUCCAUCUGAACAACACUUGGACAUGGGUUAGUCGAUCCUAAGAGAUGGGGAAGCCUUGUAUCAAGGGUGCACUCUGCACGAGCAUCGAAAUGGAAUCGGGUUAAUAUUCCCAAACUGGGACAUGGCGGCGGGCGGCAACGUUAGGAAAUCCAGAGACGUCGUUGGGGGCCCUGGGAAGAGUUAUCUCUUCUUUUUAAUAGCUUGCCCACCCUCGAAUCGGUUCACCCAGAGAUAGGGUCCAGCAACGGGAAGAGCACCACACGUCUUGCAGUGUCCGGUGUGCCCUCGGUGGCCCUUGAAAAUUUGGAGGGCCGAGUACCAUUCAUGCCCGGUCGUACUCAUAA